rnacentral:rRNA from 2 species
UGGGGAAUAUUGCACAAUGGGCGAAAGCCUGAUGCAGCGACGCCGCGUGAGGGAUGACGGCCUUCGGGUUGUAAACCUCUUUCAGCAGGGAAGAAGCCACAAGUGACGGUACCUGCAGAAGAAGCGCCGGCUAACUACGUGCCAGCAGCCGCGGUAAUACGUAGGGCGCAAGCGUUGUCCGGAAUUAUUGGGCGUAAAGAGCUCGUAGGCGGUUUGUCGCGUCUGCUGUGAAAGCCCGGGGCUUAACCCCGGGUGUGCAGUGGGUACGGGCAGACUAGAGUGCAGUAGGGGAGACUGGAAUUCCUGGUGUAGCGGUGGAAUGCGCAGAUAUCAGGAGGAACACCGAUGGCGAAGGCAGGUCUCUGGGCUGUUACUGACGCUGAGGAGCGAAAGCAUGGGGAGCGAACAGG